rnacentral:lncRNA from 1 species
ACACUAUGGUAGAUCUCAUAUGUCUUUCAACUUAUUCAGGAAUCCAAAAUUUUACACAUAACACCUCAUAACCCAAAAAUCAAUAUGAACUCUUUCUCUGCCCCCUCCCCGCAGACAUCAGUCUCGCUAUACGUAUGACCCAAUUGUAUUACCUGUGUAUGACUGAAACACUGCAACCAUUGAUUAGACAAAAGAAGUCAAGUUAGUGGCAUUGCGGCUGUUGAUUGGAUUGUAUAUAAGUCAGAUGGUUGAGUUGUACACAUAGCAAUUUUCCCGCAAACAUCCAUCCUCCACCAUCGCCUUUCCUCCAUUAGCCAAGGCACCUUCACCUCCACUAAAGAUGUCUCUCCCCACUCCGUUUCUGCUAGCGCCGCCCCCAUCCUCAUUGUCGCCACACAUCCCUUUGCCCCUUCCCGUCCCCCUCUCACUAGAUCAUGUCAACAACGACGGGUCGAGGGGUCACACCGGUUGUUGAGGAGCCCCUUCCUUACUUUAGAUCCAAUAAAGGUCAUUGAGGUCCCUGCCACUUUAGAUCCAUCAGCUCUGGUUCAAAUCUACCGCCAUCCUCCUCCUCUUAUCCUCAUUCCCAAACAAAAGUUGCACUCCAUAGCGGCAUGGGCCAAGGUGGCACAAGUUGGCGUAAAUAAAGGCCACUUGUCCGAUAAGAUCCACAGAAGUAACACGAGCCUCGCGUCUCCCCUGACUCCUCCAUUCAUCAAGAUUUGGCUGAUGCUGCCACUUUUCCCUCAGCUACCUUUGGAUCUGGAAAGUGAACUGCCCAUGUAGACAAUUUCAACAAUGGUAGAGAACAUAUCGGUCUCCCCAGCAGCAUCUUCUUCCUUCUACUCAAUAGGGGCCGAGAAGGCGAGGCAACGUGUGCCCAAAACUGUCUCUUGCUAUUUUUCUUAGAAAAGCAUUCAUAUCCUGCAAAAGCAAUAAGAAUCUUGCUAAAACCACUCUCCUCCACAAAAUCAAUCCCUUCGUGGCGAGUUGAAGCCACUCAUCACAUAGGUGCACUAUGAAUGUCCUAAUACAUAUUACUAUGGCCUAAAUGACAAAUAAGUGAUUUCAUUUCAUAAUGAUGCAUCUUGUUGUGUAGAGAAUGUGAGUGUUAUCGGUUCAAUUGUAUCAUCUCAAUGUAAUUGGUUGAAUUUAACAAAAUAUUCUAUGUCAAAAAAGUUAAAUAUUGUGCUAAACAAUUUUACCGAGUUGGAACAAACUAACAUUAAAGCAUCUCCAAUCAUCUCUCCGUUUCACUCUUUAAGUCAAAAUAUAGCAACUAUGGGCCAAAAAAAAAAAAAACCUUCCAACAGCUUUACCAAUCAGCUUGCCAAAGACAUCUGAUUAGCCAUCAUUACCUCCUCCCAGGUGCUCCCUCGUACCAAAGAAACUCUUCAGAGGUAGCAACAUUGUCACACCACCACUGAGCUCGUUCGAGCUUCAAUGUCAGCUGCACUAUGAAGGAAGUAGGUCACUGCUGCUCUUCAACAUCCAUCGAUCAUGGCCUCUCUCCACAACCUAUGCCACUGUUGCAACUCUCCAACCUCCUUUGCACACAUGCUCCAAUCUCUGCACAUGUGCCACAGCUCCACAACCUCCAUCUCUGCCGCCAACAACCUCCUUUCCCUGUUGUAUAGAGAGAAUAAGGGGAAAAAAAAGAGGGCAGAGAUUGACAUGUGUGAUCCAAUAAAUUUAGAGAUUAGUAUACUUGCAUCACCUAUGUCCAAUGUCAUCAACGUUUUGCCCUGUCAUUUCUGUUUAUGGAGUACAUGGGUGUAUAUAACCAACAACAUAGAAGUAUAUAUAAGAUGCAAACGAUUAACAAAGGUACAGAAGACAAAAAAAGAUAAAUAGAUACUACCUCCGUUUCAUAAUGUAAAAUGUUUGACUUUUUUGGUUGCAACGUUUGACUAUUCGUCUUAUUCAAAAAUUUAGUAAAAAUAUAAAAAAUGACAAGUCGUGCUUAAAGUUCUUUUGAAAAUAAAGUAAGUCACAAGCAAAAUAAAUGAUAUUUUCAUAAUUUUUUGAAUAACAUAAUAAUUAAACAUUACAAGUAAAAGAGUCAAACAUCUUACAUUAUAAAACGGAAAAAGUAUCUUUUAAACAAAAUGAAGAAGCUUUGCACCCCCUGCAUAUUUCAGUGCUCAAAUAUACUUUGAAUCACAAAAGUACAUACUCUACAAAAAUGAAAUCAAGGAAACAUGCAUGCAUAUAAAUAUUUCACAGUGAUUCCUCCCAAGAAUUUUAUGAAUAUGCUGAAUAUAUAUGUUGCUGAACUAGCUAGCCGUUUGUAAGUCUGCGACCCGUGCCUACGAUUACGAACCAUAGAUUAUCUUCGUAGCAGUUGGAGCAGUACUGUUCGUUUUUUUCAAGCACUGAUAUGUAGGUAAGUAGUAAUUAAAAGGAAUAUAUCAAAGUUAGUAAAGUAUUCAGAAACUGUUGUUAGUCAAUCCCUGGCAUAUAUAUUUUUAUAUCGAUCUGCGCAGACCUUGACAAAAUUGCUUAUACAGUUUCGCUCUCUUUUUUCUUUUGCUUCUGCUUAUAAGCCAAAAUUUAAAUUUUUAAUCUUAAAUUUAGAGCUAAUUUUGAGGUUUUUUCAUACAAGUUAUUUUCAGCCUUAGUUUUUAGAUCUCUAAUAAUACGUUUAUAAAAAUUUUAUUUAUAAAUUAUUUUUUAUUUACACUUAUGUCAGUUUGGUUUUUUUAAAAAAGCCAAAUAAUCACUCCUUUAAUUGUGGACAUUAUUUAUAUCAUUAUGAACACUACAGAGUCAUGGAGUAUGCAUUUCGAUGAUGAAAUGAAUGCAGGGCCUGUCGGCUUGCUAUCUUCAUGUUAGAAACAAAUAAACUAUCAUAGGGCAAACAGUUAUGAGUAGCAUUGAUCACCAAUGCAAGUACAACCAAGGACAGCGUAAAAUCAAAAUUUGAAAUUCAAAAUCAGAUUUUUGGAUCAUGUGCUUAUUCAAAACGCGCCAAGGCAAUCUUCACUCUUCAGAAUGGGACAUCCCUUUUUUAUUGAAGUGGUGACUAGUGUAAUUAAGUACAGAAUGAGCGGUUGAUUUGCUGCAGGUACUAGAGUCACCAGGAGUAUGAUAGAUUUUGCCUGAUACAUAUUUACAUGGAUAGCUCUAUGUUAUCGUAUCUUUGCUUUUACUUACGCUCAUAAGCUAAAAUUUAAAUUUUCAACCUUAAUUUUAUAGUAAAUUUUAGAGAUUUUCAUCAUAAUUUAUUUUUCAGCCUUAACUUUUAGAGUGCCAAGAACACACGUAUAUAAAAGUUUUAUUUAUAAAUUAUUUUUCAUUUACAAAUAUACCUAAAAAAAAUCAAACAAUCCCUCCGUAGUUAACAAUUUACUGCUCUCCCAUCGACCAAUACGUACGCGAGCAAUGAACCUGGCCCUUUACCUCCUGGCCGUAUGCCCGUAGUUUUUGAAUUUUGGAACAAAGUUCGUAGAUACGUACGUAUGUAUGUUUCAAAUAGUUCAGUUCCAGUGGCAAUUUAAUUAGCACUGUAAAUUUGGGCUAAAACUUCGAAUUGGUGCAUGAAUAAGAUUGAGAUCAAUGGCUACACUUGCUGUCGUCAGAUCACCUGUAAAUGCACAAAUGCACAAGGUCUCCUUGGAAAUGCUCGAUUCGAGCUCAGUCAAGCUCAAACUUGGUCUCCGGAAUUGAUAAUGACUAAUAUAACAUAUAUUUUAAUAAUAAUCUUUGAAUAAAUAUGAUUAUUUUUCUAGUUAAUUAUACUUAAAACAGAAUAGACAAUGGAUUAAUAUAAAUAUAUGUUAUUGUGCUAAUUUAUUGUAUAGAAUAUACUGAUGUAUAUUUAUUUAUUAGUUUGUCAAUGAACAAGUUUAAUAAACAAUAAAAUCUAUGCAUGGUCAAGCCCAUUAGAAGCUCAAGCUCAGUUUGACAAAGAUUGCAAGUUUUGGCUUGGGCUCAAACUUAGCUCGAAUCAAGCCUAUGAUGAACCAAGCUCGAGCGACUUUCGAGUCAAAAGUUUGACAGACCUAGUGCAGAUAAAACAACUGAAUUGUACAAAAUAAAAUUGUCCACAAAAUAUGGUACUGCUGCGAUAAUUAAUUAUGGCUUUAUGUAUCUUAGAUGUAGCAUCCAAUUUAUUCAGAAUUAAUAAAAAUAAAAGCUUUCGUUUGUUAACAUCAUUUACAACGGCACAAAACAUAGAUAAUUAUACAACCAAGGGACUGCCUAUGUUAUAUUCGAUGAAACCACUUGUUUUUUUUUCUUUUGGUGACUCCCCUUCACCGGAGGCAUGGUCUCCGCCUCACCGCCUUGUCACCUAUAGCAGGGUCGCCGCUUCACGUGGCCUCCGUAGUAAGAGUUUUUUUUAUCGUAAGUAGGACUUGGAGGUACCACACUUUUUUAAGUGUAAAACGUACGAUACCUUAAGGUACAAAAAAUUUAUACUAGAAUUUUUGAUACCUUGCGAUACUUUUUAAGGAGGGUAAAAAAGCCUCCAUAAUAAGCCCAAAGAACUUCACCUAUUUCCCCUUCUUGAACCCACCCCUCUCCUAGCCUGAAAACCUAAAGUCGUUCAUUGAGACUUCUUGCAGGACGGAGCUACUCUAAGGGAGGGGAUAUUAUGAACCUGGUUUAGAAAAAAAAUGUUAACUAAAAUUUAUCUAUUUUCACCAUAUAUACAUCACUCUCAAUCCAAAUACAGACAUCCGCAACAACCUAAAUCAUGCUCAAAUCAUAAAAAACAAGUGAGUGGCACCACUCGUCCAUCUAGCUUCACCCUUUACUACGCAAUCUAGAGGAAAGGUGUUGCCGAAUCUAGGGUCACUGGAGCGCAAGACGCUAAAGAUAUUCUAAGUUUUGCAAGAUUUUUACCCCAAAUUUUUGUCGAACGUGAUUGGAAUUUGACAGCACCGCCAGUUAUGUUGCCGAUUUUGCGAAAAAACCUUUUUUUUUUAACUAAAACUGCAAAAGAUUGCUCUUUCUAGUUUCUACCAUCACCCUACCAACUUCGCUCGCUCUCUGACCUAACAUAAGUACACGCACAAGACAACACAACGCAAAACAGAAUACAUAAAUAUGAGCACAUGGCCUGCGAAUAAGUACCUCCAAGUACAAAAAUCCAUACACGGAAUUUUGAUGCCUCAAUAUACACCUCGUGAUACUAAAUUUUAGGCUAGUAAACAUAAAGUAAAAUCUUACGCUUGUUAUGAAUAGGUAUUAUCUCAAGUAAUAUUAAAUUUCCCAAACAUAAUACUUCCGCCAUAUUUUUUAUACCACGACGUUGACUUUUAUGUUUGCAUCUGAUCCUUCGUCUUAUUAAACAAUUAUAUAAUUUUAAUUAUUUUAUUAUAAUUUGAUUUAUUAUUAUAAAAAUUUUAAGUAUGACCUAUAAUUUUAUAUAUUUGAAUAACAUGAACUGUCAAAGGUUUGAUUUGAUACUUAACGGUAUAAAAGAUACCUCCUCCAUCCCUAAAUGUUUAACGUUAUUGACUUUUUUAUACACGUUUGACCAUUUGUCUUAUUCAAUUUUUUUUUAAAAUAUGUAAAGUUAUAUAUAUAUAUAUGCAUAAAAGUAUACUUAAUAAUAAAUAAAAUAAUAUAUAAAUAAUUAAUAAUUAUAUAAUUUUUUUAAAUAAACAAAUAAUUAAAUGUGUAUAAAAAUUCAACGGCCAGUAUAAAAAUGGGGAGGGAGUACAUAGACAGGAGCAAUGACCCACGGACCCAUCCUCCCUCCGUCUUCUUCGUCGUCUUCCCACCACCACUCUCCUUAAUUGCACUUGUUGCAUUUCAUUUUCACAGCUUCUUCCAUCCAUCCAUCGCCUCAACCACCGCAUCCAAUGGGCAAGAAAGGCCUCACCUCCCUCUUCUCCAGGCUGGCCGCCCCCGAUUCCUCCUUCGUCGCCGCCGGCUCGCCGUCGCCGCCUUGGCGGCAGUGGUCGUCUUCCUGCGCGGCCCAGCCGCAGACGGCGUCGUUCCGUGGGUGCUACGACUACGAGGAGCCGUGCAGCACGGCGGCGGCAGCGGCGGGAAGGGGAGGAGGCAGGUCGUCGGUGGCGACGGGGAGGGGGAGGUUGCCGAGGAAGUGCGGGGAGAUGUACAAGACGGUCAACUCCGUCUACCUCGACGACUCCGCCGAGGACGGCGGCGGAUGCGAGUUCUUUGGUGAGGACGACGAGGUGGUGGUGGUGGAGGAGGAGGAUGACGGCUUCUCGACGACGACGGCGGCGGACGAGGAGUGGUCCGAGGCGGUCAUUCGCAGCCUCGGCCGCCGGACGUCCACCGACCGCUUCUUCUUCGACGACACCGGGCCCGGCCGGCCGGCGACCAACUCCAUCCUUGCCACCGCGAGGGCAGUGGCACCACCGCCACCACCACUACCNNNNNNNNNNNNNNNNNNNNNNNNNNNNNNNNNNNNNNNNNNNNNNNNNNNNNNNNNNNNNNNNNNNNNNNNNNNNNNNNNNNNNNNNNNNNNNNCCUGGGGCGAGUUGGAGGAGCUCCUCCUCUGGUACCUCCGCGUCAACGGCAAGCACAACCACCCGCUCAUCGUCGGCGCCUUCGUCGACCUCCUCCUCGGCCUCGCCUCCUCCUCCUCCUCGCCGGAGUCCACCACCACAGCAACUACCACCACCACGACAACGACGACGAGUGACACCAGCUGCUGCUGCAGCAGCAGCAGCACUGUGAGUGCUACCACCAGCAGCGCAUCCGCGAGCACGAGCACCACCAGCAGCAAUGCCGUCCAUGUCGUCACUGUCGCCGCCGCCCCCCCCGCNNNNNNNNNNNNNNNCAGCGUCAGUGGAGCAAGGCGGCGGCGGCGGCGGCGACGAAGCUCCUUGCUCGUCUUCCUCCUCGUGCUGCGCCGCAUCUGACCAUGACCAUGACGAGAUCGGCCAGAAGACAGCAAGGUGAUUAAAUUAGAUUAUUUAGAUAUCGCAAAAAAAAUUAUCUAUUUUUCGUCCCUAAACUUUCACGAGAAGUCAGAAUAACUCGUGAAAGGUUAGAGACGCAAAAUAUAUUUUCUUUUUUCCUUUGGAUUUUUAGGUUUGUAUCAGAAUUAGCUAGUGAUUGAUACUCUCCUCCGCAAUGUUGAUUUUGCAUAAUGGUGAUGUAUCAUGCUCACUAUACUAGCUUAAUUGCUUAAUUGCGAAAUGAUGAUGGAGUUGAAGAAUAGUGCUGGUCCUCUUAUUAAUUUUCUUUGCCAUGUUUCUUUCAGCCAGGUUGGAUCAGGGUAUGGGAUCCAAAUUUGGAGCACCCACGUUAGUAAUUGACUUUUAGGACAACGUGAAUUUGACUAUUCAAAUCCAUGUGCAAUUCAAAUGCACAGGUGUUGAGUUUAUAAAUUCCCAAACCAUUUAUAAUAUUCUGAACACAUAAUAUAUCCCUUCAAAGUAUCUCAAUUUUCCAUACAUAAAAAUAUAUAGCCCCAGUACAUAAUUUGCUCUAGGGUUUGCAACUUCAUUUUGCAUAUUAUAUUUAUGCUGGGGCACCGGAAGUUCAGAACAUGGAUCAUCUUUUUUUUCUUUUUAGGUUUUAAAGAAAAAGGUCAAACCACAUAUUUGCAAAUGAAGAAUAAUUUGUAAAUAAAACUUUUAUAUAUGUGUUUAUAGCGGUCAAAAAGAAAAAACUGGAAAAUAAACUACGAUAAAAAACUCUCAAAAUCGACUUUAAAUUAAAGGUUGAAAAUUUAAGUUUUGAUUUUUAUAAACAUAAGUAAAGGUCGAAAGAUGAGGCAGCCGACUUUUUAAAAGAAUAUUUAAUAAUUUUUUACUACAUUCGUAAGGAUGCCUGAAAUUUCGAACUGAAAUUGCUAACGAUUAUUUGCUCUUAACACACAUAACUAUAGAAAAACAUUAACCUAGGAUGAUUGUUGGGCCUUUUCGAUUAAAAAGCCAAAUAGCAUAUUUACAAAUAAAAAAUAAUUUAUGAAUAAAAUUUUAUACGUAUUCUUAACAAUCUAGCCAAUGCUUAAAAACGAACUAGAAAAAAACCUCAACAUUAACUCUAAAUUUAAAAUUUAAGAUUAAAAUUUUAAAUUUUAACUAUAAAUAAGAUAAAGCAAAAAUAUGUCAAUGAUGAUUAAGCACAUGCGUAUUGUACAUCUUUUGGCAUCUAAUGGCAUUCCUAACCCAUAACAUUAGAUGUAAUUUCCAUAAACUCCACAUCAUAAAGAAACUAGAACUAGACACUACUCUUCCAAUACAAACAUCAUUAUUUCAUACUUCAAUUUAAUGUUACUUAUCUCACAUGAUAUCAUGAUAUCUUGAAUGUUGUGUAGAAACAUGUCUCAUGCAAGACAUGGUUUCAUUCUCUUUCCUCAUUUAUUCACUUGCCACAUUAUCUUUUAUCCUAGAUGACAACUUAUUUACUGUUAUGGACAUUAUUCUAGUCAUUGGGUUAGGAAUGCCCUAACUAGAACUGCUAAGACGAAAAUUUAAAGAGGAAGAGAAUAGCUUAACUACAUAAUUAUGCUUCUUUUUUUCAGAUUUAAACAAUUUAAUACACACACCGAUAGGUAGGUGUGGGGCAAAUCUUGAGGCAUAUUUAAUGGAGAGGGCUGGGUAGUUGCAUGUGCCUGAAUUUAUGUGCAAGCAUACGUACAUACUAUACAAAAUACUCCCACAGCCCACUUAAUUGAUAGCGCCUUAAAUUUUGCUACUGCUCUAGCAAUGUACUCAUAUCUAAAUGUUAAAUAAUUCCGGAUCAAAUUUCAGAAAUUUCAAACGAUACCUCUGACAUUUGAAAAUAUAUGCACUAAAUUUGCUAAAUUAAUUUUGAAGACACGUGCACCCUACUGGGAACCACCAGUAUACCUGAAAUUUCGAGUUGUAUUUCAAAAUCAACCUUAGCUACUGCUCCCUCCGUUUCAUAAUAUAAGAUGUUUAACUUUUUUACUUGCAAUGUUUGACUAUUUAUCUUAUUCUAAAAAUUAUGAAAAUAUCAUUUAUUUUGCUUGUUACUCACUUUAUUAUCAAAAGAACUUUAAUCACGACUUAUCAUUUUUAUAUUUAUAUUAAAUUUUUGUAUAAGACGAAUGGUUAAACAUUGUAACUAAAAAAGUCAAACAUCUUACAUUAUAUUAUGAAAUAGAGUUAGUAAUUGCUAGUAGCAGGACUUACGGAGUACUCACUCGGAUCAUAAUAUUUGAUAUCUAGUACAAAGUUUCAAAAUUGUGAACCUAGUCAUAGCUAACAUUGCUAGCAAGCGCAGUGUUAGAAUUUGCGAGGGUUCACAAUCAUGGUCGCUAGGGGUGAAGAAAUUUUUCUAAGACGUUUGUUGGACGUAAAAUUUACUAUAUUUUCUCUCUAUACCUUAUAAGGAUGAAAAAUUUUAGUUUGAUUUUCAUAUAUUUCAUUACUGCAAACCGAAUCACAGUCAUAGAACUUUUUCCUUGAAAGUCCUAUCUUUUUUCUCUAAAACGAAUGAGCCCCUAUAAUUUAAAAUUUAUCAUAAAAACAUCCGCACUUACCUUUUCAUCUCAACUAGUUACAACUCUUUUUACCUUAACUUUAACCUAAAAAUCUAAAUGGUCUUAUAUUGAUAUAUACAUAACACUAUAUAUGUGUGUCUAUACAUAACUGUAUAUUUAAAUUUAGGUUAUAAACGUAAGCAUAAGACCAGUCUCAAUGUCUAGUUUCACUAUACAGUUUCCAAAACAGCCAACUCGAGAAAGCGAUGUAUGAAACAACUACUCACAGUGCAACGUUUCAGUGUAUCAAUUCUAAAUUUAAAUAAAACAUUUAAUUACAACUGAAAGUUUAAUUGCAUCCAGACAGUGUUUAAUUGCAUAAAACACCUCAAGCUUCUCAAUGCGAGUUUCACUGUGUUACCGAGGACUUGGUAGCAGUAUCAAAACGUUUCAGGGCAGUCCCAAUGGUGUAUUAAUGGUGGUUUCUAUCAUCGUUAAAUAACUUGCCACGUAAGUAAAAUGAUGACAUGAAAACGUAAUUAAUGAAGAAAAAGAGUAAAAACCAAGUCUUCUCUUCGCCCAAUGCACCAAAAACCAUGAAUUCAACAUUAGGAAGAAACCACUAGUUUCUAGGGGCACGUAUCAUGCUAAUAAUUGGUGGACCGAAAUAGAGUUAAGAGAGAGAAAGAGAAAACAAUUACUCGAAUACACCUUUAUUGUAAAAAUUCUAUAAAUAAUUUCUUAUACUAUGGCAAAUGUGUCGGUUUCUUUCAUUGGCACUGCUCUCAUAGCCAUAAAACUACUUUCCUCUCUCUCCUCACAAUUUUAUAUAAAUAUUCUCUUUUAUUCUUUUAUACUGAUACGCACGUACAACCCAUUAAGACUAGUCCAAGCAAAAAAAAAAAAAGUCGGUGGGAGGAUAAACAUUUCUCGAUCCUCGAGCAAUUUAUGGGAAAAGAUUCUUGCAUGGACGAUACCUACUAGCAGUAGUAUACUGCUCGAGUAUUGGUCUACUCGAUUUGGCGAAGGCUCUAAAACGAGGUGUGCGGCUUUUAAUUAUCCGCGUGCUUGUCCUAAUUAUCGUCCUCGGUAAGCAUGCUCGCAUGUGUUUAGUUUAACUAAUUGUGCAUUAAUUAAUCCAUGCAGGCUUAAUCUUCAUUACUGCACUGCAGGCAGAGGCAGGCAGUGACUUUUCUCACCUCUCGAGGAGCAGUUUCUGUAGAAAACCUGCCUGCAGGCAUGCAAUGCAACAACCAGUUUGUUUAUUAAUUGGGCCUCUGAUGGGCUUAUGUGUUAUAUAUAUGGCCUAUCUACAGCCUGCUGACCCAAUAUAUGCAAAAUAAAAGGAAAUUAAAAAGAAAUAUGUGUAACCUGUCCUGAGUAAGAGGAUGAAUUGAAGUUUUUUUUACCAUACUUAUAAAGUAUCUUGAGGUAUCAAAAAUUUUAGUGUAAAAUUUUUAUACCAAAAAUUUUAGUAUAAUUUUUUGGUACCUUAACAUACAUUGUACCCUAAAAGUACUACAUUUUUGAGUUUUUUUAUUAUUUUUGAAAAAGUAUCUCAAGAUAUCACAUUUUUUAUGUGAAAGUUUAGUACCUGGAGGUAUAUUGUAUCUUGAAAUUUUUGGUACCUUAAAGUACUUUUUAGGAAUGAUAAAGAAACCCUAAAUUUUUAUAUUAAGAAUAUAAUACCUUAAUGUACUUUUUCAAUAAUAAUAAAAAAGCUCUAAAAAGAAUAGAUGGGCUGCGAUUUGAGUAUAGGACUGCUGGAUAGGUUUCUUCACAUGUUCAUUCGAGGUUAAAUAAUUUAGACUCAUGGACAACUGGACAUCCAUGAUGAAUUCGCUAUUUUCAAAUUAUACCCACUCCCUUCCUCAAAAGUGGUCGUAGAAAUAGGACGUAGUUUGGAUGGAUGUGUUUAUUAAUUUAUAAUUAUGUUUUACGGAGUAUUAAUCAAAAAAUGAAAAUGAUGGGUUUUUUUAAGAAAUACUUUGUGUUAUAAACGUCUGCAUCUAUAUUAUGCUUUGUAAAAUAAAAGAAAAAUAUAAGUUUUUUUUGUAAAUUUAGCUAAACCGGCGUCUGAUCAACGCCGAAAGAUCUGACGCUUUGUGUGUGUUAUUUUGGCAGUUGUCCCUCGUCUUCCGUACUCUCUCUAUUUCGUAUUCGUAAUGGAAGACUUUCUAGUAUUGUCUUGAUUAUAUGGAUGCUAAUAAAUCUAGACACAUAUAUAAAUUAUAUACAUUCAUUAAUAAAUGAAUUUAGGUAAGGCUAAAAAGUCUUAUAAUAUAAAAUGAAGGUAGUAAUAAAGAAGAAAGGAGUAUAGCCGGUCUUUUUUGAAAAAAGAAAUAGAAAGAGAAGAGUUAGCUUCAUCUUAAAAAGAAAGGAAAAAACUAAUUCUGUUUUGGAGACGGGAUUAUCUAAAAACACAUAUACGCGAGCUGAAGCAAAUGGCCGACGAUCUCAAAUCUCAUAAUGGUCAUGCCUUUAAUUUUACUUGCAAAACUACUUAAUUAAAGCAGAGGCUCCAUGUGGUUCUCUCUCAGAAAGAAGACGAUAAGAGCAUGUACAGUAGUAGCCUAUAAGUCAGCUGUAAGUAUAUUUUAGGGUAUGUUUGGGAGAGCUUUAGAUUCUGAGAAGCAGCUGCUUGGUAGUCAACUUCUGAGAAUCUGGAAAAGUUACUAAACCCAGCUUCUCCAGAUUCUGGAUUCUUAGUUUAUUUUCCAGAAUCUGUAACUACAGAUUCUCAAAAGUUGUGGACCAUUUGGGGUAGUUUCUGACAAAAACAGCUUCUAGGAAAAGCUACAAUAAAAAAAGCUCUCCAAACAGGCCCUUAAAGAGAUAAGAGGGGAGAGAGAAUGAAGGUGAGCUACUAAUUUGUAGCCAGCUAUACACGGGCUCUAAGACAAAAUGUGUGUAUGAUAUGUGAGACUAUGUAUUGAUAUUUUAUAUGUAACUAUUAUAUAAAUUAACUAUUAAAUUGAUUAUAGAUUAAUUAGAGCUGACUAUAGCAUUUGAACUUGCUCUAAAGCAGGAGGAGCCAGCCGAUGAGACGAACGAACAGGUCAGAGUCAUAAAUAAAAGAGAGAUCCAACAGCGCUGGUCGAUCGAGUAGAUGUGAGCAAUUGCGAGUUGGUGGCUGGCAUUUUUACUACUGCUAGCUGGCGUGUACUACUGCUACUUCUACGUGGAUUUUUGUCCAAAACACCCCCUCCGCCGGCGCUGCUUUGUUUCUUAGUCACGUGUCUGGUUUAAUCGUCCUGUCUAUAUGACUGUACCUCCCAGGUUUGUGUCUUAAGCCUAUCAAGUCUGUAAGCGUCGUGUAUCAAAACACUUUUUUUUCUAAUAUAUUAACAUGCAAAUCUUUUACGCGUUCGAAAAAAUAGUUAUAAAAAUAUUUUAAAAAAUAUAAUAAGAUGUAUUACUAUUACUAUAAGAUGUGUAUUACUUCACGAACAAAUUCAAAUUCGAUUUCGAUCUACAAGUUGUAAAAUGAAAAAAAAACUAAACUAAAACUAGUAUACACUCUAUCAUAAUUAUAUUUGUUAUACUUAUUAAAGUUGAAUAAAUUUAUAUUUUUGGGGGGUUGGAGUGAUAUAUCACACAUUAAUUAUCUUAUAAAAAUGUUUAGUUUUUAAAUAACUAUUUAUGUGACAUAAGGAGGACGUAGAGCAGAGGGAUGCAUGAAAACACUUUCCCCUACUACUGGCUAACUGGUAACUGCUGCAGGCCUGCAGGUGUGCUGGUGUUUGCUAAACUGUGUAGGGCAACUGGCAGGUGUGGUCUAUCGAUAACACUGCUAUCUGAAACCGGCCCGAUUCAGUUUCCAAAAACUUUUUUAAAAAACAUCGUAUCAAAUUUUUCGAUACCUAAAUAAAGCAUUUAAUAUAUAUGAACAUUAAAACAAAUUACGCAGUUAUGCGAAAAAUCAUGAGACGAAUCUUUUGAGUCUAAUUAGUACAUGAUUAGCUAUAAGUGCUACGGUAACCAACAUGUGGUAAUGACAGAUUAAUUAGACUUAAAAAAUUCAUUUCGCAGUUUCUACACAGAAUCUAAAAUUUGUUUUGUAAUUAGACUACUCUUGAUAUACAAAUAUAUAACCGUAUGCGUCGAUGUAACCUUCCUCCUAAAUUUUUUUCCAAUUUGAACGGAUAACUCAUCAUGCCAACGCCAAUGCCAAUAUAUACAUGCAAGCACGCCACCUAUGCAUGUAUAUCUUAUCAUAGUACAAGCCGUGUUCAGUGAUCUUUUACACAGGUUUAUUUUCUCGGUUUUUUAUGUGCAUUUUAUAAAAUGUUAAACAUUUAUUUUUAAAAAGUUUCUAACAUAUAGUUAAAAUAUAUUUUUAGCUUUAUAGUAUUUAAUUUUAUUAUUUAUACUAUUAAAUAUGUAUCACAAUAGUCAUAAAAUAUUUUUAUGUACAUCUUCAUAACGCAAAUUAUUCUCUUUUUUAUAAGAUAGCAUCUGUUUUGAAUAGUUAAAUGGUGUGUUUUUUUAAAAAAAUUAUAUAGAAGUUAAGCAUCUUAUAUUUAUAAAGUAGAUUCUCAAUUAUACGGUGUUUAAUUUCAUCGUUUACUCUCUCCGUCCCAAAAUAAACCGAUUUUUCAUUUUUUACCUUCAAUUUUUUGACUCUUCGUCUUAUUCAAAUUUUUUUACGAUUGAUAUUUUUGUUUUUAUUAGAUGAUAAAUCAUGAAUAGUACUUUACGUGUGGCUAAUUUUUUUUCUAAUUUUCUAAAAAAUUUUCAAAUAAGACGGAUGGUCAAACGUUGGACACGAAAACCGAAAAAUUCUUUCUUUUUGGAUCAUAAAACAUUUAUAAAAGAAUCAGAUAACUAACUAAAGAAAGCACGGGGGAUUUCGAGCUUUGUAGUGUAUCAUGCUUUUGUUUGCAGCGAGAAAGCUAGGAGAGCACGGGGUUUCAAUUAAGAAAAGGAGAGCUUGCUCGCUCGAUAAAUCUUGGGACUCCUCAAAAGCCGAUGCAUGCAUGCCCAAAUGCGUGCAUGCAAUGCAUGCGUGCGCGCGUUUUUUUAUCCUUCUUCUUUUUAGCAAAAUGAUUGAUGCAGCACUAGCUAGGGCUUGCCAAGGUCUGUCCUUUCUCUGUCUUCUCUCUAUAUACUCUGUCUCCAUGGUUAGAGCAUCCUCAACAGCCCAUCUAAAUUUGAUUCUCUAUAUCUUAGUUUGGAUAUAUCUUAGUUUGGAUGGUCAUCUAAAAUAGUUUUAUCCUCUAUAUAUUUAUGUGCUUCAGCAGAUUAUCCAUAUUAGAGUAUUUAUAUUCUAGUCUAUUAUAUUUUAUUGAUACAUGUAACUCUCAUGCAUUUGUUUUUAUGUUUUAUAGUGACCAAAGUGGGGACAAUUGAGUUUUAGAUGAUGGAGAUAUAGAGAACAUCUAAAAAUAGAGGAUGUAAUAGAUGUUCUGUUGGAGCACUAUUUUUACCCUCCAUCCUUUAUUUUUAGAAUAGAUGAUAGGAUAAAAGAGCAGUUAGGAUGCUCUUAGAUAUCUUUAUCUUUUCGCAUCUUAAUAUAUUUAUAAGUUAGAAUUAAAAUUUUAAGACAAAUUUAAAGUUGCUAUUGGCAGGUUUUUCAACAAAGUUUAUUUUUUAGUCUUGUCGUUUAGAUCGUUAAGAAAAUACGUAUAUAAAAGUUUUUUAUUCAUAAAUUAUUUCUUGUUUGUAAAUAUGCUAGAAAAAACCAAAUAAUCGCCCCGACAAAAUAAAUUUGGAGUUGCGAAUCUAAAAAUUGCCUAUGUUCAAAUUUAUAUAGCCAGAAAUUGUUUUUUUAAGGAAAGGUGUGAGCUCGUUUAAUUAGGAUACGGAUCUUAAUGGGAAGACCAAUUGUAGUUGACGAUUACUGGUAGGUUCUGGCUGUAGAUACAGAGUUUCUCCUCGAUCUUCUCUUUCAGAUGAAUGUACCUUAACUAAGAGCAAGUUCAAUACAAUAGAACAGCUAACUACUAGCUCCAAUUCAUCUAUAAUCAAUUUAUACAAUAGUUACCUAUAAAAUAUUAAUACAUAGUCUCACAUGUCAUACAUACACUGUGUCUUGAAGUCUGUGCUACAGCUAGCUACAAAUUAAUAGUCCAUCUCUCUCUUAUCUUAUCUUUUUAAAAUAUGUUUAUAACUGGCUUAUAGCAUGCUAUUCUCCCUACCCUAAUACCUCAUUUCAGCGUCAGGCACCAUACAUGACUACAAUAGUAGUAUAUAUAUAUAUAUAUAUAUAUCUGGACUUUUACGAUUGGAGUUAUUAAGGAGCUAGUUUAAACACAUGCAUCACAUCAUCACAGCAGGACUACAAAUCAUACUAACUACUGUAAUUGCUAAAUAUAAAUUAUAGUUCCAUUGCCAUGAAGUAAACAGCUAGAUCUCUACUUCUAGCACUAAUAUUGUAGCUUGACCAACAACUACUACUUCUGGACCUUCAUGCAAAACCAAAGGCCAGAAUGCACACAAACACACAAACAGGAGAGCACACUGAAGCUAGCACAGCAACAAAGCUAGCAACUACAUCCAGAGAAGCAAGAAAUAAAAACACAAAGAUUAUUACUAAGCUAGCUAGUAAUACUAAUUAAUCUUUUUUUAGCUAGCUAAACCAUAUAUUAUAAUUUUUUUUUCCUUCGAGAUCCUAUCACCACCCGGUAACCAGCCUGCGCGCGUACACCAGGUGGUGCCAGGAUCUCGAGACUUCCAGGGCCGUACACGUGGCGCUCGAUCCGCCGUACACGUCAGUAGUGGUAGUAGUGGUAGUGAUACGCCGGCGGCGGCGGCGGCGGUGGCGGCGGAGGGGUGGGGCGGCUCGGCGGGGAUAAAGCCGUACCUNNNNNNNNNNNNNNNNNNNNNNNNNNNNNNNNNNNNNNNNNNNNNNNNNNNNNNNNNNNNNNNNNNNNNNNNNNNNNNNNNNNNNNNNNNNNNNNNNNNNNNNNNNNNNNNNNNNNNNNNNNNNNNNNNNNNNNNNNNNNNNNNNNNNNNNNNNNNNNNNNNNNNNNNNNNNNNNNNNNNNNNNNNNNNNNNNNNNNNNNNNNNNNNNNNNNNNNNNNNNNNNNNNNNNNNNNNNNNNNNNNNNNNNNNNNNNNNNNNNNNNNNNNNNNNNNNNNGUCGUCCCAGCCGCAGAGCCCCAUCUCCACCACCAUCUGCACCAUGCUCUCCCGGAAGUCGGCGCGCGGGUCCGACGACUCCUUCUCCACCGCCACGCCGACGUCCUCCUCCUCCGCGUCCGCCGCCGCCUCCAUCUUCUCGUACCUCUUCUUCCUGCUUGCCCUCCUCCUCGCCGCCGCCAUCCCCGGCGCCGCCGCCCGCUGCUGCUGCUGCUUCCCGUGGGUCGUCGUCGUCACCGGCGCCGCCUCCUGCUGGUGCUGGUUGUGGUACUUCUUGUAGCCGGCGACGUGGGAGCCGCCGCUCGGGUAGUAGUAGGGGUACUGGUUGGAGGACGACGAGUAGGUGGUGGUGUAGGUGGCGGCGGAGGAAGACGAGAACGAAGCGGUGGAAGCCGACGACGGGAAGAAGGACGACGAGUGAGAGCUCGUGCUCCUCGGCACCGGCGGCUUCAGGGAUGGCCGGAGGAACGACGGCAAGCUCAUCAGCAGCUGCCUCGGCCGGCGAGGCCGGCCGGCGAGGCCGGCAGCCACAGCCGGUGUCAACGACUGGCACGUGGCGCCACCGCCCGCCCACCGGAAAAUGCCUUCCUCCUGCUCCUCCGCCGCCGCCGCUCCGCCGCGCCCUCGCCGACGACAUAGCUAGCUAGGACCUAGUGGCGGAGCUAGGAUUCCGAGGUGGUAUAAAAUGUUGGGACUUGUGAGCUCCGAGCUAUGGUGACAUUGACAAGGAGGAGGAAGAAGAAGCAGCGGCUUAUAUAUAAUCCGAUUUGGCUAAGAGAGUAAUUAAUUAGGCUUGUGGAUUAGUGGAGUAGUUAAUUAGGAUUGAUCCUGUGAGGAUUAAUUAGUGGGUCAGGGUUGGUGGGCCACAUGGUCCUGGCUUGGUAUGGGGAUCAUCAUUCCGGUCUACUACUACUCCCAUGGCCAGCUCGGUUGCCAACAGGUUUGACUUUGACUGUACUUAUCUAAUAAUGAGUCUCUCUGCUUUAUUAUUACAUUACAAUAUAUGGGACAUCUAGGACAAGGCAAACCCGCACCAAGUGGAGGUGAAUGUGAUCAAAUCGAAAUGAAAUGAAAAGGUUUCAGUGAAUUCGGUCAUUUUUUGUAUACUGUUUGUCAUUGUGGUCAAAUAUGUGUUAUUCUCGUAUGACCUGUGUACGUACGAUUCUCAAACUGAACGUUGUUAUAUGAAAAGUUUAUAUACAAAAGUUUAUCGUCUCCUACUUUCAAAGUAAAAUUUUUAAUACGAGUGAUUUAGCUGGAAUAUACAUAGGAUAGGUGUGGUCCGAUAAUCGGAAAAAAAAAAUCGCUACUACAAAAAUUGGUGUUUCUAGCAAAUCCGAAUCGUGAAUAUGUGAUUGUUGCAAAUUACCGGAUGACCGUAUUUGACUUGUUGUGGUCUUGUGGAUUACUUUUGGAUGAUCACAAGUUUGUAACACGGUGAUGCUUAGGCCCCGUUUAGUUCCUAAAAAUUUUUAUCCAAAAAUAUCAAAUCAAAUCUUUGGACACCUAAAUAGUAUUAAACAUAGAUAAAUCAAAAAACUAAUUACACAGUUAUGUGAGAAAUUGUGAGACGAAUCUUUUGAGCCUAAUUAGUACAUGAUUAGCCAUAAGUGCUAUAGUAACCCACAUGCGCUAAUGACGGAUUAGUUAGGCUCGGAAGAUUCGUCUCGCGAUUUCCACGCCAGCCAUGAAAUUCGUUUUUUCAUUUAUGUCCGAAAACCCUUUCCGACAUCCGGUCACACGUCCGAUGUGACAUACAAAAAUUUUCAUUUCACCAACUAAACACCCCCUUAAUUAUCGAUGCUUGUUGAUUGUCGAACUGUGAUAUUUGCUUCGUCUUGCCACAUUAAACUAAGGCGAUUGUCUAAACAUUAAACAUCCCUCAACUCCUAAUUUAAUUCGAGAUCGCCUGACUGGGGUGGGUUGCCAUGUCGGUACCAUGUAAAUUGAUCCACUCCAUUUUAAUUUAAAUCUAGGGCUAAAUUCAACGGAUUUAAAAGUUAAUAGCUCUAAUACUCCGCAGCUAUGCUUUAAGGGAUAAAGCCCUUGUCUAGUUCCAAAAAUUUUCACCCAAAAACAUCACAUCAAAUCUUUAGGCACCUAAAUGAAGCAUUUAAUAUGGAUAAAACAAAAAAAACUAAUUGCACAGUUAUAGGAGAAAUUGUGAGACGAAUCUUUUGAACCUAAUUAGUCAAUGAUUAACCAUAAGUGCUACAGUAACCUGCAUGUGCUAAUGAUGGGUUAAUUAGGCUUACAAGAUUCGUCUCGCAGUUUAUAGGCUAGCCGUGAAAUUUAUUUUUUCAUUCAUGUCUGAAAGCCCCUUCCAACGUCUAAUCAAACGUUUAACAUGACAUUAAAAAAUUGUUUUCCACCAACUAAACACCCCCCCCCCCCCCCCCCAAAAUGAACUUAUCCGUAGAUAUGUUACUCACGUUUCCGAAAAAGCCCGCACUAGUCACUAGAUAUCGGACAAAGAGUGUAAUUGUCUCUAAUAUAUCCGUCUCUGGUCUGGUCAGUUGUCAAUUGAUCCUAGAAAAGUGUUCCAAUUUCUCGUUGAGAUAUCCUGGUUUUUUUACAUUUCAUCUAAAUAGUUACUAAAAAGCUCAUAAAAAUUUAAAAUGUGUAUUAUACAGGGUGAUUGUUUAGUUUUUUUUUCAUAAAAAAAGCCAGUGACAUAUAUACAAAUAAAACAUUAUUUGUGGAUAGAAAUUUUAUAUACGUAUUCUUAGCGGUUUAAAAACCAAUGAUGGAAAAUAAACUUUGGUAAAAAAAUCUUAAAAUUAAUUCUAAAUUUAAGAAUUAAAAUUCAAAUUUAAACUUAUAAAUAUAAGUGGAAGGAAAAAGAUAAGGGUUUGCGUACAUGUGAGUUCAAAUCUAAUUCUACAUGUAAAAAGAUAAAUAUAACUUUUAAUAUGUUUAUACUGCUCAAAUUUUAAUUUGCAUAGGUCAAAUUUAAAGUUACAUAUUUAUGCGGUAACACAUAUCAUAUUCUCCCUCUGUCCCUAAAUGUUUGAUGCCGUUGACUUUUUAAUGAACGUUUGACCAUUCGUCUUAUUCAAAAAAGUACAUAAUUACUAAUUAUUUUUAUAUCAUUUUAUUUAUUGUUAAGUAUACUUUUAUGCAUAUAUAUGCUCCCUCCGUCCCUAAAUGUUUGACGCCCUUGACUUUUUUAUAUAUGUUUGAUCAUUCGUCUUAUUCAAAUUCUUUUGUGCAAUAGGUAAACCUAUAUAUAUGCAUAAAAGUAUAUUUAACGAUAAAUGAAAUGAUAUAAAAGUAAUUAAUAAUUAUGUAAAUUUUUUGAAUAAGAUGAAUGGUCAAACAUGCAUGAAAAAGUCAACGGCGUCAAACAUUUAGGGACGGAUGUAGUAUAAGUUUUCAUAUUUUUAAAAAAUUGAAUAAAACAAAAGGUCAAACGUAUAUAAAAAAAUCAAUGACGUCAAAUAUUUAGAGACGAAGGUAGUAUUUAACUACCUUUUAAUUGGUGUAUAGCUAUUUGGACAACAUAAAUAGGAGGGGAUAUAUCCCAAGAGGGAUUCACCCAUUUGCAGUUAACACUAAAUUCUCCUGUAUUUAAACAGACCAAAGUACUGUACAUUUGGGCCGACUUCGGAUUCGAACGCGGUAGGUAAUAGUACUAACGUACGCCGGUGUAGCAGUACACUGUACAGUAGUUGUACGCAUGCAGCAGCAGAAGUAUACGUAUACGUAGCACCCCGGUGGGCCUACUCUAGUCAAGUCAACACGAUCGAUCUACUCAUUUACUCUCUGCGUGUUUUUUUUUUGAAAAUUAUAAUUGUUAUUAUAAUUUUGCUAAAUUAGAGAUAUGUUAUUACGAGCUACGGUCAUUGACUCACGUGUAUCUCAUAUGUUAGUAAGAGCAUCCCCAACAACUCAUCUAUCACAACUCAUCUAUCAUCCUAAAAAUAGAGUAUGAAGAUUAUAAAUUGAAAUCCAACAGCUAUCAUAUCAUCUAUUUUUAGAUGUCAUCCAUAUUAGAAGAGAGAACAUUUAUAUUUGGAUGAUCUUUCUAUCCAGAAAUAUAGAGAAUGUCAUAUAUGGAUAAUACAGUGAAGUACAAAGAGAUAUGAAGGACGAAACUGGCUUAGAUGAUCAUCUAAAUGAAGAUAUGGAUGAUCAAAUUUAGAUGAGCUGUUGGGGAUGCUGUAAGAUACCAAUAAUAUCUUUAACUUUGUAAAAUUGCAAUAGCACUGUUAUAAUUUUUUUUCUUUUAAUCACAUCUAACUUUUUGAUCUAAUUUUGAUCAUCAUCAUAUUUAAAAAUCUAACAUAACUAUUAAUUUAUUUAUUAUCAAAAUAAUUUUAAAUCUAACUUAUAAUUUUAUUAGCUGGAUGGUAAACGUAAAUUCAAAAUGAUAAAGGCGGAGGGAGUAGCGCCAUGAAUGUUAUCUCGGGAUCCGAUCGAUGCAGGCGAGGAGGGAAUCUCAGGCUUGUUUAGUUCAAAAAAAUUUCCAAAACCAACGCAUCGAAAUUUUAGAUACAUAAAUAAAGCAUUAAAUAUAGAUAAAAAAAAUAAUUGCACAGUUAUGAAAGAAAUCUUGAGACAAAUCUUUUGAGCCUAAUUAGUCUAUGAUUAGCCAUAAGUGCUACAGUAACUAACAUGUGCUACUGAUAGAUUAAUUAGGCUUAAAAGAUUCGUCUCGCGGUUUCCAGGCUAGCCGUGAAAUUCGUUUUUUCAUUUAUGUCCGAAAACUCAUUCCGAUAUCCGGUCAAACAUUUAACAUAACACUCUUUCAAAAAUUUUCUCAAUCUAAACAGUCGCUCAACGUCUGAUCCUCUGGCCUCGCGCAGCAGCGGAAUAAUUUAGUAGUAGCAGAGUAUCAGUUGUAGGCUGUAGCUUAGCCUGGAUGAGCAACGCCGCCGUGACGGGCGGCCGGCCGGCGACGGCGAGCCGCCCAACCUACAUUAGCCUUUUUCUCUCUGCACUGCACGGUAUCGUCUGUUACCUCCAUAUUUUGGUUUUGUACUUAUGUUUAAACAUAAGCUACAAUUUAAAUUUACAAAGUUGAUUUCGAGAUUUUUAUAUCGUGGUUUAUUUUCAGCUUAACACGCAUAUUAAAGUUUUAUUCGUAAAAGUACGCUGCCACUGUAUCGAGCGAAUGCAAGCAUGCAGGGCUGCCGUGGGUUGGUGGCGGCAGCAGCAGCCAGCUUAUUACUCGGUAGUUAUGUGCACGCUUCGCAGACUAUUAAAUGAUAUAUGUUUUAUAAAAAAACUAUAUAAAAGUUUAUCAUAGUAACUUUAUAUAGCAUAUUUUUAUUUUUAUAGUCUUUUAUAUUAUUAAAUAUCUAUUAAAAAUCAAAUAAUCUUUUAUCUUUAGUUUUUUAAAAAAACAAAACAGCUCACCACACGCACGCUCUAUGGAUGCAUGCUUGAUUGAUUGGCACUGUGUUUGAUUAAAGGGCAAAGGCCUAACAUUUCUGUCGAUCUUUACAACUUUUAUCGAUGCGAAAACAUCUCUUUCCCCUGCUGUUGGGACGGGGCGAAUUUUGCUGAGAUUGAACUCGACCCUGCUUUCAUUUUGGAGGAUUAUUUCCACGUUCGUACGUUCGGUGAUACCUAGAACGAACUAAUGCUGGCAGCUACGUGCAGUGUCUGCCUGGAAUUGAUUUUUUUAUUUUUUAAAUCUUUCUGAUAAAUAAUUUUAUUAUUAAACCUCCGAAGAAAAUAUUUUCACCGUAUGAAUCUUUUGGCCACGCCACCAACAUUAGCGUGACGAAACGGCUUGGCACGCUAUUAUCGGUGCGCCACUGACAUUGGCAUGCCACGCCGACCAGGCUGCGUGGCAGCGUUGUUUUGUUAUGUCACAAACACUGACGUGGCCAAAAGAUACGGUUUUAGAAAAAAAUUUGUCCGAUGGUUUAGUAAUAAAAUUACUUGCUAAAAAGGUUUAUUUAAUAAAAAAUUUCCCUGGAAUUAUACUGAUACUAGCGUCGAAGUGAGCGUACUCACUCCGACAGCUGCUGUGCUGCGGCUGCCUGCUAAUGCGCUAAUGGAUGCAGAUUUGCAGAGAGCAGCAGGGGCUAGCUUUAAUUAGAUUUUGGCUCCAACCUCAUCAUGGUCACUCACAAGCUCCUGCCGGAGUGCCGUGCCGGCCGGCGUCUUUCCGGCCAGCCACCAUAGACAGAAGCGCGAGCUGCCAUGGCUGCAGCGUUCUGCUGCUGCUGCUGCUGCUGCCACACAAAAGUCACGGAUGGUCGGCGCCCUGCCCGGCCCGUCGAUUCGAUCGAGUCAAAGACAGUACUCACAACCUAACAUCAGUCAUUAGAGUAUUUUUAUAAAGAAAACGUUCUCUACCAAUUUAAUUUGUUAGGUGCAUAGAUAGAGCGUUUGCACAUUAGAUUUGAAGUUGUCAAACCUAAUAUAAAUAAAUGGCUAGAUUUAUAUUUAGAGAGUCAAAAUUAACCAUUCCCUGCGGAUGCGCUGCCUCGGUCAUGGUUAACUUAAACUACAUCAUCUAAUUAAGCUGCAGAGUGGCCUGCAGGCAGGAGGGAGGAUGUCAUCAUCUCCAUCGGCCCAGGCUGAGCAACAAGCUUUCACUAGAAUCGAGUUUCAUCUUCUGAUUCUGAGACCCACGGCUGGCGUUGGGCUCAGCUCAGGAAUGGAGCGUGCUACUGCUAGCUGCUGCAUUCCUCUCUCUGGCGUGCAGCUGCAAUCCUUCCUGCGCCGCAGAGUAUUUCUUUUUUACUGCCAAUAUUCAGCUCCGUGGAUUGUUAAUUCUUGCUGGUUGCUACUCCGUAGCUCAAAUAUAUAUGAGACUUUUUACCAUUUUACUCUGCAGCAUAUUUUCUAGUAUAAAAACUUUGUUAUUUUAAAAUAAUAAUUACGUCAACGUAUCAAAAUUUUACCUCUGAACACACAGUGUUUUGGGUGCUUUCUCAUAUGUACUAUAAUUUUUCCAAUAUAUAUGCAUACAUACGUGUAUAUGUAAUGUUGUGUUUUAGUCAUGCAUAUGAUGUGACUUUACAUGAGAGUGUACAGUGACAUGACGUGUUUUAGCCAUGCAUGCCAUCUAUUCCCGUCUCAAACUACAUUAAAAGGUUUGAGGUAGUAAAUAAUUAUGAAAAAAUUAAAAGGUUUGAGGUAGUAAAUAAUGCCUUAAACUACAGCGUUGUAUUUAUUGUAAGUCUGAGGUAGUAAAUAAUUAUGAAAAAUUAAAAGGUUUUAAAAGAUAGGCCAAGUGUAUCAUUGUAUAAGUAUGCAAGUUUAAAUUAAAAAUAUAGAUAUAACUAUGAUUUACACUUAUAGUUUUUAUUUUUGGUAUUACUUGUAUAAGUUCACUUGCAUAUCAAUAUAUCUUAUAAAUUUGUUGGUAUUGUUACCUCUAUUUCCAAGUUAUAAUAUUUUCCGACCAUUUAUAUAUUUAUGUAAAUCCUAGUAAAUAUAAAUACAUAUAUAAAACAUCUAUAUUGAUAUAUGGAUUAAUCUAGUUAAGAUUAAAAUGUAUUAUAAUAUAAAACGAGGGCAGUAGGUAUUAGGAUAGCCUGCAAAACAAAAGGUGGACCUUUGCACUUGCACAAGAGUUUAAAAUACAUUCCCUUUAGGGUCCCUUUCAAUCACAGGAAUAAAAAAACAGAGCAAUAGGAAAAAUAUACGAUUCUACCAGAAAUAUAAGUGUAAAACAGAGGAUUGUAAAACAUAAGAAAAACGUAGGAAUGACCGUUUGAUUGGACCACAUGAAAAACACAGGAAUUUGAGGAGAGAUAAAGACUCAAAGGAUUUUUUCCAUGAGGUUCUACCUCUUGUUAAAUUUCCUCCAAAACUUAUAUGGGAAGAGGCAUUCCAUAGGAAUUUCAUAGGGUUCAUUUCUUUGAUUCAAAGGACUUUAUAGAAACAAUUUCUAUAGGAAUAAAAUCCUCUAAAAUUUCUAUAAAUUUUCUUUGAAUCAAAGGAGGACCUUAUUUAUUUAAGAUUAAAAUGUAUUAUAAUAUAAAACGAGGGCAGUAGGUAUUUGGACAGCGUGCAAAACAACGGGUGGACCUCUGCACUUGCACAAGAGUUUAAAAAUCCAUUCCCUUGAUUUGUUUACGAAUGAGAACUUUCUUCCUGCUGAUUGCGAAACGAAUUAACCGGCCAACCGUACAAACUUUUCAUGUCGCAGGCAUGCUUGCUUCCUGAGCUAACCUAGCCUUGCAUGUCAAAUCAUGGUGUUUAUGCCGGUUCACAUAUGUACACGCAGCGUUUCAAUCAUACGUGCUCGUGCCCAAGUACUCGCUGGCACUCCAUUUGCUUCCUCUAUUGCAACAUGCAUGCUAUGCACGGACGUGCAUCAGAUGUAUCAUCAGACUAUGCACUUCUUAAAUUUUCUGAAUGUCGUCGUCAACCUGAUGAUAUAUGUUUUUACAGAUCGAUCAGAGAAAACAGUGAUCAUUACUACGCACAAACUGCUGCAGAAUUUCAUCCUAGCUAGCUCAGGGUUUCAAGAGCCUCCAUCGAUCGACAAGAGCAUGUUGUUGUUGUAGCCUGCAGUGAAGAAUCAAUCGAACGAGAAUGCAGACGACGAACAUCACGACAAGAAGUACUGCACCGGCGUCACGGCCACACUUUAUCAAGCACAUCAUUCAUAUGGUCGGGACACGAUUUAAUUAACUGCGUUAAUUAAUUUGUACAUAUAUAGGUUUUACUGUGUGUCCAGUUAUCAAUCACAUGAUGUUUCAGCGAAAAUUUCAUGAAAAACUGCAUGCCAGUCCACAAGAAUAGCUCCAGGUAGGUACUGUAAAAACACAAACUUUAAGUAAAAACUCUGAAUGCUACUGUAAACGAUAGUGAUUCGUUCUUUUUUUAUUCAUCUUCAGAAAAUGGGGACUUGAAUGUUCUACUGCUCACCUGCCCAAGGUCAAGGACUCAAGGCUGAAGCUAUUUUCUUGCACUGGAAAUGCACAAUUUGGUUUGGCAGAUGCAGAUGCAGCUGCGUGCCCGGCGCCUGAACCUGAGAAAUGAUGAGGUUUCACAGUGUUCAUCGAUCAGUGGCCAUGGUUCAGGUGAUCGAUUGAGAGCGAGUGCCGUUGUAGCUGAAAAGGAUGGCAAGAGAUCUUCAUCACUACUACUACUACUAGAGAGAGAGAGAGAGAGAGACGAGAGUGUUGUGAAAUUUUGUCCAAAGAUUCUGCUGCUCUCCAACUCAAUUAUGAGAUGUGGCAGGAGGUGGUGCAACUUUGUGCAGCAUCUUCAGAGUAGAGAGAUAGUACUCCUCCUCCAGUGGUGGCAAUGGCUAGCAUUUACCCGUUGCCAAAUCCAAUUCAAUGCAAUGGCAAUUGAGGGGGCAGUUCAUCACCCCAACCACCCAUAUCUGCAAAGAAUUUGAUGCAGCCAGCUGUAGACACAUACUACAUUCAAGCUAGGUUGGCAUUUCUCUGUUCCAGUAGUGAGAGAGAAAGAGUUCACUGUGGUUUGCUAGUAAUAAUGCUUGUACCAUGUUUUGAUCUAGUAAUUAAACUGUGAGCAGCUGAUCCUAGUUCUUUUCUUCACUUGAUUCCCUCGGCCAGUACGUACUGUUGUAAUCAACUAACUCUGAAAUCGUUCUGAAGAAACCGUUGUAAUUAACCUGAUCGAUUUCCUGUCUGUAGAUACUGUUGUGAUUAACUAACUCUGAAAUUGAUCCAACAGUAGAACCAUUACAUGCUGUACUAUACCAGCAAGGUUUUUAACGAUCUGCAGCAGCAUCUAGCAUUUUCAAUUCGACUGCCAAAACAUGAAUGUGAUCAUUCAUUCAUUCAUUCAUAUUCAUACUUGAGAAUCAGAUCAGAUCAUAACUAUAACCUGACCCGGUCGUCGUCACGCUGAAAGGGGUGGCCGGAACUGAGUUACUGUUCUUCACGAUCAUGCCAUGAACUCGAUCGAUAUCCCUAAAGCUUUCGUAAGCUAGCUAGCCGGUGUCCAUGAAUGGCUCCUAAAUGCUCAGCUGCAGCUACCUAGCAGCCAUGGCUGGCCGGCCGAGCUAAUGCAUGCAUGCAUGCAUUCAUGGCAGGCUGGGCUUUCAGUUUCAGGUCUUCUCCUCUAGCUAUUCCAGCAGCUAGCAGAGCAACAAUGGCGCCAUUGAUGACGGCAUCGCCAUGGGUGAAUCCGUGAAUGUGACUUGACAGAUUUAUUAUUAUCUCCGUACUAUAAUAACUUCAUUUUUUAUUUUUCCAUACCCAACGUUUGACCAUUCGUCUUUCUUAUUUGAAAGAUUUGUGCAAAAACCUAAAAAAAUUAGUCACGCAUAAAGUACUAUUCAUGUUUUAUCAUUUAGUAAAUAAAUAAAUAUUAAUCGUAAAAAAUUUUUAAAUAAGACGAAGAGUCAAAACAUUGUAUAAAAAAUAAAAUAAUCUUAUUACGGGACAGAGGUAGUACGAGUGAUGUACAUAGCCUGGAUUGGGCUACUCGAAUCUGAAAUGUAUAUUGGAUGCACGAACGAAUUGAAGCAGCUUUGUCAGUGACUGAAAAAUCAAAAAAAGGGAGCACCUGGAUGCAUGGAUCAUCGUUGGGAGAAGGCAUCAGCAUCACAUCACUGCCUCUUACUGACUCAAAGACUAUUCCAGCUGUGAAAAUUCAGGGAGCUAGCUAGCUGCUAGCUGAUCCUUGUGUUUCAGUACACAGGGUUCAGAUCAAAAAUCAUUCAAUAUAUCCCGAUUUCGUAAAAACCGUUGGUAAACCGACAAAAACCAAUGAAAUCCAGAUAAAUUUUAGUUUGGUUUUUAACUUGGUCGAAAAAUAGAGCGGUUCGUGUUUCUGUUGAUUUCGUGGAGCCUUGUCCGUGCUAGUCCUACUGGAGUGUGUAUGUGCCACAUUGGGCCGGCCCAAUCGAAUUGGCCCGGUAGAAAAAUGGUCUGGAAGCUUUGGCCCAUCUCGAUAUGGGCCGUGAGUGGGCUUUGGAUUCGGGUAUCUCCGGCCCACUAAGGGUUUUAUCAAAUUAUUUUGUCAUUAAUGUCACUGUCACACGAGAGAAAACGAGAGAUUAAUGGGGGACGCAGGGUGCGUGCGUGCAUGUCCAAGUCAAAGUCAGAUAAAGAAAUGGAGAGCACGUCUCGUGAGAUAUUUUAAUUAAGUGGAUUGUGUUAUUUUAGUAUAACUAUUUGGAGUAUAACCGACUAAAUUAACUGUUAUAAACUUAAAAUUUUAUUAUAUAUAAGAGUAAGAUGGUAAUUUUUAUAUAGAAAAAUUUACAGAAAAAAUGUGCUUAUUCAGAAGCAUGAAAAAUAUGCUGAUAAAAAUCUAAAUAGAAAACGAAACAGGGCCUACGUGGGGGCCAUGCUUUAGCUUAGAAGAUAGUGUACAUGGUGAGAUUAUUGUGGGUGAUCUGACCCAAUGCAACACAACUACCAUGGCUAAAACCACUCUUGCAAGCAAAGUGGUUAGUUGGUGACUAACAAGCAACCAACAAUCGAAUUUCACAAGCUACUUUUUGUUAGAAAGAUUUGUUUCUAUCCGUUUGUACGCUCUUGGAAGCAUAUGUUUAACUUGGAGACAAUACUAAAUUGAAUUCUAUCAGUAGUUGAUACAAAUAUGCUGGAACUGAAAUUGAAAGAGAUGGGAAUUGAUGGCUGGAGCAGUUUGAUGAAGAAAGAUCUCAUCUUUUUGCUUAGUCUUUUGCUUAAAAUUAAAAAUUUAAAUUUAGAAUGAAUUUUAAGGUUGUUUCAUCAUGAUUGGUUUUUCUAGUGUUGCUUUUAGAUCACUAAAGCAUGUAUUAAAAUGUUUUAUAAAUAAAUUAUAUUUUAAUCAUAAUAAUUUAUUUUUCUUAUCCUAAUUUUAGUACAACUAUGAGGUAGAAGUACGCUAGUGGACUACUACCGGUGGCGUGGAUCUAGGAUGCAAAUGGUAGGGGACUUGUUACUUUCUUCUUAUUCUAGCCCUCUUUUGUUCCUCCCCUUCCCUCCCCUCUCCUCUCCUCUCCUCUAUUUUCGCAUGAGGAUCCAACAUGUAGGGACGUUGCAGCCCUCGCAGCCCCUACAUUGGAUCCUCCAUGUUUACUGGUGCAUACUUCUACGUGAUGUUGAGUUGAUUUGGAUGUUUGAUUUUGACCGGUAGAUAUGGAGUAUUGAAGUCCAUCAUGCUAAGUCCAUGUAUAUACCUUGUGGGUAUUAUUGUCUCAAUAUUUUUAACAAAUAGUGUUGUUAAUUUUUUAAAUACAUUUUUAACUAUUCAUCUUAAUCAAAAACUUUCAUAAUUACUAUUUAUUUUGGUUUGAUUAAAUAUAUAACUAAAUAUAUUUUAACCAUCACAUUUUUAUAUAUUUAUACUCACAUUUUUAUAUAUUUAUAAUAACUCAAGUCGAAUGAUUAAACUCGCUGUAAAAGGAAUUCAGUUACCUCACCUAUUGAAAUACAGAGCAAGCGCUAAAUCUACUCGGUCAUAACAUGCGUACGAUUCGCUGUGUCGGAAUCUUCUCUGGUUUGGGCCCCAUCGAACUAUCGAAAUGUCCUUGCCACGUUUCCUUUCCAAAAGGUAGCACCUUCAACCGUCAGGGGAUCUUCUGUGCUAUACGAGGGAUGGAACAACGGUGCUCAGGUAUAAGAGCACGUUUAAUAGUAUAGCCAACUACUAGCUCUAAUUUAUAUAUAAUUAAUUUAAUAGUUAAAUCAUACAAUAAUAACCUCCAUACAAUAACAACCUACAAAACAUAUAAUACCAUAUUUCACAUGUCAUUCACAUAUUAUGUCUUGGAGUACGUGCUGUUGCUGGCUACAAAUCUAUAGCUCACUUCCAUUCUCUCUCUUCUCUUAUCUUCUUAAAAUAUAUUUAUAGCUAGCUUAUAAUCUGCUAUUAUACAUGCUCUAAGUGAAGUGUGUGUUUUCUGUCAGCUUAAGCUUUCGAUUGAGCCCCCGCGAAAAAAAAAUGCCCAUGUGAAAAAAGCUUUCGAUUGAACAGUUUGGUAUUGUUUAGUUUCCAUAACAAAAAAUUCCAUGUUGUCACAUAAAAUAUUUGGAUACAUAUAUGGAUUAUUAAAUGUAGCACAAAAAAUCAAUUACACAGAUUGCCUGUAAAUUGUGAGACAAUUUUUUAAGCCUAAUUACGUCAUAAUUUGAUAAUAUGGUGUUACGGUAAACAUUUGCUAAUGACGAAAUAAUUAGGAUUAAUAAAUUUGUCUCGCAUUUCAUGACGGAAUCUAUAAUUUGUUUUGUUAGUAGACUACGUUUAAUACUUCAGAUGUUUAUCCAUAUAUCCGAUGUGAUAACCAAACCUAAAAAAUUUUCCCAAUUAAACAAGGCCUUAAUAAGAUAUCAAAAUUAGGGGUCUCAAAGUUCAAAUCCUAUAUAAUGCAUAAUUAAUUCAAAUUCUGACCAGCACAUAAUUAAUUAAAAAUUGUAGGUCAGUUGUAUUCCGUCGAGGCUUUGAGGGGCCUUGCAAAAGGGCAAGUGUUGAGGUAUACAUGAAAUUAUUCUUUUUUCUUCAUUAACUUGAGCUUUUGAGUAAAUACUGAACGGUAUAUACAAGUUGAUAAAUCACCCUAUCAAUUCUUCAGAAGAACUCUCCCUCCAACAGGUUGGUUGCCAUUGUUGUUCUCCACAGCCAGCGAGAUAGCUUAUACUAUAAAACGGUGCAUUUUUUAAAAGUUUCUCUAUAGAAAUUUAUCAUUUCAUAUUUCUAUUAAUAUAUAUUUAUAUAGCUAUAAAGAAAUUAGAUAUUCUUUUAUCUUUCAUCUUUAGCUGCAAAAGAACACCGCCUAGUGUUAAAAAAAAUAUACUAAGAGUAUGAAAAGACUGAAAAUGUGAAAGGAUGGAUGACUCAAAUGUAAAUUGAAGGCUUGGAGCAGAAUGUAUGUUAGUUUUUAUAGUCAUUUGGUACCAUUUAUUAUUAUAGAUUUGUUGCACUACCACAUUAAAAUUUUGCUAAGAGGAAUCCAAGAGCACAACCCCUGGUGUACAAUAUUCGCAUUUAAUUGAAUUAUGUGUGGGUAGGCAGGCAAUAAUACUACUAAACCAUUUAUUAAUAGUAACAGUUGACUUAGUACAUGAUACGCCAGCGCAUAUUUGCAGAGAGGAUGGAUGAUGCGGGUUUAUAACAACUAACAAUUUAUGAUUAAAGAACCAAAUAUAUCGAGAUAUAAAACUAUCGCUACCAUAGCUUCGUUAAUAUUUGACGCUGGCUAGUUCAAAAUUAAAAUACCCAGCAUUACAUAUAAAUAAAUUGUUUUUUCCAUCAUUUAUUUUUAUAUACUUAUAGAUAUCAAUGAACGUAAAUAUAUUUAUUAAUAAAUGGAUUAAAGGGGCUUAAAAAAUUUUGCAAAGUCAAAACAAAGCUGGUGAGAUGGUCCGAAGCGCCGGUAAAUUGGACACACGGGGGCAAACAGAAGCAUCGGAGACACGGAAACACACAUACAUACACUACAUACAUGGACCCACCUGCCAGCCGCUCGGUCGCCCCCCACACGCCAACCCCACCCCACCCCCGCAUCUCCUCGCGUGGGGCCCACCAGAUCAUACUCAGGUAACNNNNNNNNNNNNNNNNNNNNNNNNNNNNNNNNNNNNNNNNNNNNNNNNNNNNNNNNNNNNNNNNNNNNNNNNNNNNNNNNNNNNNNNNNNNNNNNNNNNNNNNNNNNNNNNNNNNNNNNNNNNNNNNNNNNNNNNNNNNNNNNNNNNNNNNNNNNNNNNNNNNNNNNNNNNNNNNNNNNNNNNNNNNNNNNNNNNNNNNNNNNNNNNNNNNNNNNNNNNNNNNNNNNNNNNNNNNNNNNNNNNNNNNNNNNNNNNNNNNNNNNNNNNNNNNNNNNNNNNNNNNNNNNNNNNNNNNNNNNNNNNNNNNNNNNNNNNNNNNNUGGGGCCCACCAGAUCAUACUCAGAUAACCGUAGACGCCACCCUCAGCAAAGGGUGGGCCCCACUUCGCAGCCGCCGACGCCGAGGUCCAAGUCUCAGGUCCAUGCCGCACAGCGACUCCACCACGCGAUCCGACCGGGUCGCUUCCAAAUUUUCCCAACUCCGCUCCGCGACUCGUCGUCGUCCUCUCUUCUCUUCAAAGCAAACCGCCGCUUCUUCCACGCCUCGCCUCCGCUCCUCUCCUCUCCUCUCCUCUUCUCCGCCCCCGGAUCCAUCCCGCCGACGGCCGCGUGCCGGCAUUCCGAUCCGCCGCCGACAUGCUGGGGGAGCUCCUCUCCAGGGUCCUGCUGUGAGUCUCCUCCUCUCUCUCUCUCUCUCUCUCUCUCUCUCUCUCUCUCUCUCUCUCGUUCCUCUGUUUGUGUGCCUUCUUCAUUGGAUUCUCGACUUCGUCGUCUUCGUCUUCGUGGACCGACGUACGGUGGCUUUGCUGAUUCCUCGCCGUGGGUUGGGUGCAGGCUGCUGUUCGGGUACGCGAUGCCGGCGUUCGAGUGCUUCAAGACGGUGGAGGGGAGCCCCAACGACGCGCGCAUGCUCCGCUUCUGGUGCCAGUACUGGUAAACCCCGUCUCCCUCCCCGCCCAUCUCAUCCAUCUCUCUCUCUCUCUGUCUCCCUUAUUGGUUGGUUCACCUUUUAACUUUCAAUCGAGGUGAAUUGCUUUGUUUACUUAUUUUUUCCCCUCUCUCACGCCCUUUUGAUGUGGAGUGAGAUGCAAACUUGGAUAACAUGAUUUUCUGUGAUACCAUCAUGUCAACUUUAAUCCCUCCACACCUUUAAACCUUUUUUUUUUCUUUUGGCUUGGUAAGAUGGAUGGUAUUUUUAAUGUGUAUCUUAGCUAAAAGUUCAUGCGCAAUCAUAUUCGCCAACUUUUCUGUUUCCAAGUCUGUUCCCUCUAGUAGAUGUGAAUUUAGUUAUCUAACGUUGUUCGUAAUAAUGGGAUGUUUGGUGAAUCAUGAUACAACGAUAAUGCGAUGUACAUAGAAUUAGUACCAAUCAAGGAGGGCUUUCUCAUUCCUCUUUAAAUUUUAUAUUCUUAAUGGAUAACAAGUUCUAUGAUUUUUUUUGUCUUGGAAAAUUGGGACUAGUUUUUCUUCCAGUUCCAGGAUGUUGCCUUCUAUCCUGAAUGAGGCAGCAAAACUGCUAUAGUUAAUAUUGUUCAUACGCUUAUCCUGAAUCAAUGCUCUGCAAUGGAUUGGAAUGGGAUGAGAUUUUCUUUUUCUUUUUCCUCUGCGUAAUAUCAAUACGUGCCUGCAGUCAAAUUGAGUUUGGUUUGCAAUUUUGCACCAUUACGUGAAUUUCAAGGAAAAAAAAAGAAGAAUGUCCAUGGGACCAUCUAAUAUCUACUUCUAGACAAAUGAUUACCACGAGUGCGGGAAAAAAAUUCCAACAUUAUUGCUAUGAGUUUAAAGCGCCUCACAUCAUUUCUGAUUUAGUAAAUGGUCAUUGUUAUCUUAGUAAUCAUAAUGAAGUGAAUUUUAUGCAUUCUGUUGGAAGGAUUACUGGCCCUAAACCUACUAUCUUGUUUCCUAUCAUUAUAUGAAGAAAGCAAGUAUCUUACCCAUGACUCUGAUUGAUUCUUCAUCAGCUUAUUGAAUCUAAUUUUUAGUCACUACUUUAUGUCUUUGCCAUAUAAUACCAUAAAAUAGUAUUGGUAUACCUUCAUUGAGUACCUUCUUUAAUACUAAACCGACCCAUAACCUUAUGGACUUUGGAUGAGCAAUGGAGUAUUUCUGACAUCUUAGCCUCAGGGUUUUAAUUUCCAGAACUGAAUGAUAGUCCAAGGCUCCCACUCCCUUAGAUAGUUUUUAAUAGUAACAAUGCAUCAAAAGACAUACCCUUCCUUAAGUUCCUAAAAAAAACUGUUGCUGGUAUUCAAGCAUUUUAUAUUUUCCUCGUUCUUCCAUUCAUCUGGCAUUUCAAUCCACCUGCAUGUUUGUGUACCUAAGAUAUGAAGAAAUGUUUUAGGAUUAUGUUUAUACGAUACAAAAUGCACAUGUCUGUUAGUUGUAUGGAUGUUAGUAAACUUAGAACAGGGUUCUUUGUGCUUGUUUUCAAUACCUGGGAUGUAUGCUGGUGAUUACUAAUUACUAGUUGAAUGCUCAGCAUAUCAUUUUCGGCUCAGAGUUUUUUGGUUCAUCAAAUCCCUUGGCUUAUUUAACAAUAUCAGGAUGAUUGAGCACCUAGUUAUUCUUUUCAUUGUUGCUGACAUUAGAUGAUUGUUUUUUUGCAAGACAAAUGCCUACUCAUAUGUUAUUUUAUCUAUAUGAUCCAAAAAUUGAGCAUCACUGGCCUAUCUUAAUGACUAACUAAAAUAUGGAAGGUUCUGAUAUGCAACUGUAUUCAUUUUAAUCUGCUGAAUUGACUGAUGUGUAGACCAAUUCAAAGCAUACCAUUGACUUCAAUCACUCUGGAUGUUACAAUAUUUUUUGUGUGAUUACCUAACACGUGUUUGAGGCUAUCUCCUACCAUAAAGACACAUAUAAUUAGUGUCCAGAACAGAGAGUUUAUUAAUGUCUAUGCACAUGAGAAUAUGCAAUACUUGGCUAGUUUUGAGUUUUUUUGCCUCCAUUUGACUGUUAUUAUUUUGUUAAGAGUUAACUCAGUAGCUAUCAAUAGUUAUUUUACUACCUCUAGUCUUUUUUAUAUUGGCCCAUAGUUUAUUAGCUCUUAUAUUCUGUUUGCUGGAAUAGCAUGGCUUUCCAUAAAUGUUUACAUGGAAGUUUAAUUCAAGAGGUUGUAGUCAACUAUGUUUAUAACAUAACUGUAGAUUCUAUUCUGGUUUGGGAGAGAGAAGGCAUGGCAUGUGCUAUUACAACAAACCUUGUUAUGUGUGAUUUUUUUUCAUGGUAUUACAGUGUGGUAAUGAUACUCUAAACUGUCAAGGAUAUAUAUAGUGCAACAUGUUUCAGAUAAAAUCUAUUGUUGAGUUUGAAAUUUUCAUUUACUUGCAUAGUAUUCAGUAAAUGCAGUGGUACGGCAGAGGAUAUACUUAAUACUUUUAACAUUAUCAAAUCUAGCUAGGUGCUUUGGGCAUCAAAAAGAAGUUGACAGUGUGCUAAGUCUCCAGUACUCUAGUAAGCAGUUUAAAGUUGUGCUAAUAAUAGUAGAUCGACCACAUCUUUCUAGUUUCAACUCUUUUUGUGGAAUGCAUGGGGCUUCUAGGGCUGUUAGGUCAUAUACCACGUCAACAUACAGGGUUAAUGCUGUCAGUUUUCAGCUCUAUGAACAAGAAUUUGUUGACUUCUAAAUCUAACGGAGUUCCAUUUAUCCAAUAGGCUAACAGUUCAUGUCUUGUUUGUGAAUGUUUGCAGGAUUAUUGUGGCCAUGGUAAUAGCGUGUGAGGGCCUCAUCUCGUGGUUAGCUCAUUUAUCCUCAAUCUUUUAUAACUUCCAGUGUUAUAGAUCACUUCUUACUGAUGCAUCUCUACUAUUAAUGCAUUCCAGGAUGCCGAUGUAUGGUGAAAUCAAGCUAGCUUUCUUUGUUUACCUGUGGUAUCCCAAAACGAAGGUAAUGACAUACGCUAUUUUUCAUCUUUUAAUCCUUUUAUAUCUCUUAAAAUCUUCUAGGUGUACAUUCCCUUUUCGACCCAAAAUCUCCAUGUGCAUUUUCACCAGUAACACUCAUGUCAAUUUAAAUGCUUCUGUAGGGAAGUGAUGUUGUUUACGAUACCUUCCUCCGGCCCAUUGUAAUGCAGUAUGAACCAAACAUAGAGCAGAGGUUACUGCAUCUGAGGGCGAAAUCUGGGCAGCUACUUAGCUUCUACAUUAAGAACUUCGCCGACAAGGGGACAGCUUUCUUCAUGGAUGUCCUGCGCUAUGUUGUUUCUGAUAAAGCUGAGGGAUCCAACCAAGAGGUAAUGUUAUUUUUUCCCAGUCAACAUAGCAUACACUAAAGUGACACAUUUUUAUCUUUUGAGGUUCAUGCUUUGCCCUGAACUUUAACUCUACACUUAAAAUUUCUGCAUGAGCUACAGUGUUAUCUGAUCGUCCGAUUAAUCGCGAUUUAAUCGGGCUGAUCAGUCCCUUGACCUCGAUUAGGCCAUUCGUAACGAUCAGGCCGAUCAGAAACCUGAUUGUCCGAUUAGCCGACGAUUAGGUCCGAUUAAUCGGGCGAUUAGAAGGGGUGGCGAUCAACCGAUCAGCAUGUGACUUUGGAGUUUUGAGUUGGCUGGGCAGUCUUUAGUCUCGUCGAAUUUUAGUAUGGAGUAUGGGACUAGAAUUUUAGUCUCUUAGAAAUAUAUGGAGUAUAGGACUAGAAUCUAGAGUUAUGGGCACCUCAAACAACAAAGCUCAAAGGUAAUUACCAUCUAACCAUCAAAUAAUUCCUCUAUUAUUGUAUUUUAUAUUGCACAGUAGUACACUGCAUAUAUUGUAGUACUGUACCAAUUAGACUCGAUUAAUCGGUCUGAUCGACGAUUAAUCGGUCUGAUCGACCUGAUCGGUGCCAUGGCGAUCAGGUUCGAUCAGCCGAUCAAACAACAUUGAUGAGCUAAGUUAUCUGUUGCAUAAGUUUAGACAACGAGUUUCUUAUUUUAGCUGUUAUGAGUUAAUGGGUUUGAUUAUGCUGAAAUAAUUUUGACCAUGCAUUUUCUCUCAUGUGAAUCAGUCUAUUAUUGAUGUAUGUUCAUCUCCUAUCCAUAACACAACAUAAAUUACCUGUGAUUCUGUGAAUAGGGUAAUAGAAUUUUCUAUGCACAAAGCAUUGGUUGAAUUCUUCUUGGUCAAAUUUUAAUACCAGUGGCAAGUAUUCCUAUAGAAAAAAAUUACUUCAAGAAAUACUGAGCCUUAUUUUAAUAUCAGAUGUCAGCAUCAGAUAUUACCAAAAAGUUCCGACUACUUAGCAUAUGCUGUCAGGAACUGAAUAGGUCGUUUUUUACUUUCUAAUGAAUCAGGCACUCUGUAUCUUUCAUAAGCAAAGUAACACAAUUCAAGAAAUACUUUUACUUACUACCAGAAAUCCUACCUAAAUCACUUUUAACAUCAGCAAACUGCUUUUGUUUACCAUAUGGCUUGUCUCAAAAGGAGUCCAAGGUCCAAAUUACUACAAGUUGCUUUUCUUACUCUUUAAGGAAAUAGUUAUGCACCCCUGUUAUCAAAGACUCAAAAUACAAUUGGCUUCUAAAUGACAUUUCAGCAAAAUCUCACCGCAUUUCUUCAGAAAAUCUUUUCCUUACCAUAAGCCAUGACACCAAGUCACCAACUGUUCUUCCCAUGUGAAGAAACCUCUAACAUGCACCAGAACCAAAUGUUCCCACUUAUGGGGCUAUACUCCAACCCUGCAAAAUCACUCCUUCCGCUUUGUUUCCCUCUCAUUGCCCCCACUGUGACAAGCAGACAGGAGCAUUAUCCAAUCCGUCCAUCCAUUCAUGCAAGAGGCCUGUUCCUUCUUCCCAAUCCCAAUUAAGUUCAUGGCUCGCCCGUGCGGCCCCUGCCGUUGUCAGCACUCGCUGCUUUCUCUCAAAUUGGGCCCUCCGGACAGUGAUGCUCAACCAGAUGCCGUUCUGCAGGAAAAAAACCAUUCUGCAGAAAACGUGGGUACUGUCUGCUCAAGAGCCAAAGAUCCAAACAAUCAAAUGCACAUUCUACUCCACAGAAACCAAACUUGUCAGGUUUUGUCAUGGUACAACACCUGCCCUGCAAUAUUGCACUCUCCUGAUUUUGCAUGGCUGUUCAUUUCAUUCUCAUCUGUUCUAUCAAACUCAGGAGUCAAUUAUUCCAAGACUCUGAACCUCUUGAAUGCGAAGUGUAGAAGCCAAAAUUCACCCUCCCCAACAUAUCGCAACCACCUUGGAUAUUUUAGGAGAUAAUGUCUACGCGCCGAGCCGAGGACUUAUUUAAGGGAUGGUGUGUGCUGACCUAGAGCGAAAGUGAAAUUUAAAAUUUAGUUAUUCAGCUAAACUAGAUUGAGAUAGCUAUCAUAUUGUAAGAUGUUGUCACCCUAUCUAGAUUUAUUCAUAGAUCAAUAAAUAUGUUUUAUAUAUGUGUUUAGACUCAUUAACAUCCAUAUGAAUCCGUAUAUCGGAUGGGCAAAACAUCCUAUAAUGAGAGAAACAUAUAGGUUGGUCUAUCGUUGCAGGUUGUUUACACCAGACUUCCCAAAAUAUGAUUUCUCCAAAAACUAUCUAAUUCAGUAUUGCUUAGACCACUUCUUCUGAGCUAUUUGUUAUGUAUAUAACAUACAAUACUUAAUUUCUUCAAACAAGUAUGUCAUUCACCAGCUUUCAUCUGCAUGCAUUUAAUCUAAAAAGAACAGGACUAAUGGCACUAACUAAUCAGCACAUGCCAUGUCAAAUUGGUCGGGCGGGUGACACUAGUGGUUGUGUGCCUCUGUGAUCUGAAGACGGUCCUGCAUAUUACAAAGCUCAUGUCGAGCUCCGACAAAGCUGCAUCAAUACAGCCUACGUGUCCACCAUGUGCACCCCCCAUGUGCACGAAUCACAACGAAUAUAAUGGGGAUGCACAACGGACUCUGGAGACGAUCUGCACCCUCUUUCUUUUCGUUUUUUUAUAUGCUAAAAUUUAAAUUUUUAAUCUUAAAAAUAGUUGAUUUGGGGUAUUUUUAACCAAAGUUUAUUUUUCAGCCUUUGCUUUUAGAUCAUUAAAAAUACAUAUAUAAUAAUUUUAUUAAUAAAUUAUUUUUGAUUUGCAAAUUGUUGUUAUCACUGAACUGAACACCAAGCAGAGCAUACAUACAUUGACAGUGUUUCUGAUUAUCUUUUGUUCUUUUCAUGCUGCAGCACCGCAACAAGAAGUCCGGCGGCUGGAGCCCCUUCGCGACCAAGCGCCGGCCACCGUCGCCGCCGCCGCACGAACCCAUCUUCGACAGCAACCCCGAGGCCGCCGCCGUCGCCCAAGUUCUCAAGGCCGCCAUCAACAACCCCAACCCCAGGGCGCCCCGGCGAGGAGCUCAGAAUGGCAAGCAUUACUACAACUAGAGAAGGUCCAGCAAGCAACUAGCUCUUACACCAGUUUUAGAUGAAGAUGAUGAUGUGACUGUGUACAUAGAAUGAUUCAAAGAGAUUAAGCAACAAAAAAAAACAGAGAGAGAGAAAGAUAAGGGAUUGAGAUUGGGGUACAUAACAAAAUCCAGCAGCAGUAUAUCAAAUGUGAAAC